AGUUUAAUUGAAUGUAUGUGAUCAGAAACAUACUGAACCAAUCUGUUGAUAAGGCAGGGCCCGAUAGUUAUUAGGGCGAGAAGGAUAAUUAGUGGGCCUGCUAGAGUGGAUAACAAAGUUAUCACCCAAGGAGAAAAGUUAAACCAUUUUUGAAACCAAUUUUGCUGUGACUGUCUCCACUUCUCCCUGUCAAUCAGUCUCUGUUUUAUUUCUGCCAUAUUUUGUCUUAUAAUUCCGGAAUGAUUUGUAUAUAAACAACAUUUUUCUCCCAAGGCCAAGCAUAGUCCUCUUUUUUUAAUAA